rnacentral:tRNA from 1 species
GGGGCUGUAGUCUAGCUUGGAAGGACGCCGGCCUCGGGCGCCGGUAGCCUGGGUUCAAAUCCCAGCAGCCCCA